rnacentral:rRNA from 1 species
UUAGUAGCUGCGAGCGAACAGGGAUUAGCCCAGCACCGAAUCCCGCGGCCGACACCGGACGCCGGGAAAUGUGGUGUUAGGGAGGAUCCGCUAACCCGAGGUUGUGUGAUGCGUCCAAGUCCUUCUUGAAUGGGGCCACUUACCCAUAGAGGGUGCCAGGCCCGUAGCGGCCAUCACCAAUCGCGGGUGGAUCUCUCCUCAGAGUCGGGUUGCUUGAGAGUGCAGCCCUAAGCGGGUGGUAAACUCCAUCUAAGGCUAAAUAUAACCACGAGACCGAUAGCGAACAAGUACCGUGAGGGAAAGUUGAAAAGAACUUUGAAGAGAGAGUUCAAUAGUACGUGAAACCGUUCAGGGGUAAACCUGAGAAAUCCGAAAGGUCGAAUGGGGACAUUCAGCGCGUCUCGCGGACGGAGAGCUUGGUCGUGCGACGGAAUAGCAAUUACGUUAGACCGCGUCGACUUUUGCAUACUGUUCGCGAACGCGUGCACUUCUCCCCUAGUAGGACGUCGCGACCCGUUGGGUGCAGGUCUAAGGAUCGCGGUGGAGACCUCGGGGGCACGUUUCGGCGUGUCUUCGCGGACCCGUGAUUUCCCGGCCUGCUCGCUCGACGGUAUAAAGAUGGCGUUGGGUCGCGUUUUCGUUCGCGCCCGGUCAGUCGCAAGCGCUUGCGUAUUUCUCGUAGUCGGACGUGUGUGCCGACACGGGAAACGCUUGGCUGUUGGCGACUGUGCUCUCGGGCGGGCCCUUAAAACACGCCGGUCGGCGACGCUUUAGCUUUGGAUACUUUCAGGANNNNNNNNNNNNNNNNNNNNNNNNNNNNNAGCAUGUGCGCGAGCCAUUGGGAUCGCAACUAAACCUAAAGGCGUAAUGAAAGUGAAGGCCGCCUCGCGCGUGCCGAGGGAGGACCGGUCGGACUUUUGUCCGCAUCGUGCACUCCCGGGGCGUCUCGUUCUCAUCGCGAGUUGAGGCGCACCCAGAGCGUACACGCUGGGACCCGAAAGAUGGUGAACUAUGCCUGGUCAGGACGAAGUCAGGGGAAACCCUGAUGGAGGUCCGUAGCGAUUCUGACGUGCAAAUCGAUCGUCGGAACUGGGUAUAGGGGCGAAAGACUAAUCGAACCAUCUAGUAGCUGGUUCCCUCCGAAGUUUCCCUCAGGAUAGCUGGCGCUCGUUGAACGAGUCUCAUCCGGUAAAGCGAAUGAUUAGAGGCAUUGGGGUCGAAACGGCCUCAACCUAUUCUCAAACUUUAAAUGGGUUAGAACUCCGGCUUGCUUAAAUUGUGAAGCCGCGAGAUAACGCCGUGCGCUCAUACCGUACGGCGGACUGGAUCAGAG